ACGGCAGCACGGGGGCAACCCUGGUGGCGAGUGGCGAACGGGUGAGUAACAUAUCGGAACGUGCCCUAGAGUGGGGGAUAACUAGUCGAAAGACUAGCUAAUACCGCAUACGAUCUACGGAUGAAAGUGGGGGACCGCAAGGCCUCAUGCUCGUGGAGCGGCCGAUAUCUGAUUAGCUAGUUGGUGGGGUAAAGGCCUACCAAGGCAUCGAUCAGUAGCUGGUCUGAGAGGACGACCAGCCACACUGGGACUGAGACACGGCCCAGACUCCUACGGGAGGCAGCAGUGGGGAAUUUUGGACAAUGGGCGCAAGCCUGAUCCAGCAAUGCCGCGUGAGUGAAGAAGGCCUUCGGGUUGUAAAGCUCUUUUGUCAGGGAAGAAACGGCGGGGACUAAUAUUUCCUGCUAAUGACGGUACCUGAAGAAUAAGCACCGGCUAACUACGUGCCAGCAGCCGCGGUAAUACGUAGGGUGCAAGCGUUAAUCGGAAUUACUGGGCGUAAAGCGUGCGCAGGCGGUUGUGUAAGUUUGACGUGAAAUCCCCGGGCUUAACCUGGGAAUGGCGUUGAAGACUGCACGGCUAGAGUGUGUCAGAGGGGGGUAGAACUCCACGUGUAG
rnacentral:rRNA from 1 species